AUGGCCAAUGAAUAUGAAACAAACAAAAAAAAUUGGCAACUUUCUUGAAAAGUAAUCACCAAAGAUGACCUUUUUUUCUUCUUGCUUUGUCUUUUGAUUUAGUUCAAGAAUAUCAAGAAUUUCGGGCUAUCAAUAAUCUCCAUUCUUCAAUUCAGUGUAUACCCGGCAUCAGCCAGGUACCGG